rnacentral:lncRNA from 1 species
UGAACUCAGCGGCCAAAAAGGAGAUACGACCACCACAUACGCUAAUUCCGUUUUCAAACCAUACCACUCUAGACAAACCAAACACAACAAACGACCAUACCAACACACCAUAAACCAAACUGAACACACAAGACACUACAAUCUAGAGCAAGGGCCACAAACAUUAGAGCUUCAGAACUGUCAGACUUAAUUGCUUCGCCGGCGCCAGACUCAACCCACACGCCCUAAGCCACCACAAAGACCAUUACUCUACCUGAUUCAAGCGAAUCUCCAACUCGGGUCAAGCCGCAAAAGAUCUGAAACUCCAAAUCUGCAGAGACCUCCACACAAAUCAACCACACAGACUGUUUCCACCUGCCCCACCGCUGCUUCUCGACGAGAUUUCGCAGUGACACAAGCUUUUG